rnacentral:lncRNA from 1 species
UAAAACCUUUAAAGUUAAAAAAAAAAAAAAAAGUUAAAGCUUUACUAAACUGCAAUAUGGUUUAGAUGUUUGUAAACCCUUUUGCAGAUCUAACGUUACUGCUUUUGUUUACAAAAACAAACCUUUGCAUUCAUUCACUGACCAUUGUAAAUCUUUCAGUAUAACAAAAAAAUCACGCUUUGAUGAGCUAAUUUCAGCAGGGGUUCAGAUAAAAAAUCGGCAGCUGGCAGCAGGAAGUGGCUGCCAUUGACAGCCGGAAGGCAGUAACUGACAGCCGGAAGGCAGUAACUGUCAGCCGGAUGGUAGGCGGGACCUGCCAUUCGGUGGAAGCCAAUCAGUAUCGACCAACGUGGGCGCAACCAAUCAGAUAUAACUGCACCCAAACGCUUCAGUAAUGGUUGCGAUUGAUCAAACGGUAAGUUCAGAAAUUGGUCAUCGGAGUAAUUAAUGUUUUUUUGCGUUUUGCCAGAUGCUGUCCUGUUGAAAAUUCUUCUUUACGUGAUCCUGGAGGAGGGGUGAUGCUACAUUACUAAGUCCGUCUUUGGUUUGUUCCAAAUUCAGAAGUCUGCUGUACUGUAUACAGACUCCUUUCGAAAGAGGGCACAAUCCAGCUGGCUUGACUGAGUAUCUUCUUUUACAGAUUUGAUUAGAGGUUUAAAAAGGUGGAACAAAAUGGAGAACAAGUCUAAGCCAUGUCAGGAAUUCAACAAAAUGUACACCCUGCAGACACUGCGACGAGGUUUACAACAACUGCUUACCAGGUCACUGCAGUCACCCGGAUCCAGUACGUAUCCAGACCAGAUGGUGGAUAGCACCUAGAAAGGACCUCUACAGCCCUGAAAGACAGCGGAGACCAGGACAACUAGAGCCCCAGAUACAGAUCCCCUGUAAAGACCUUGUUUUUUCUCCAUUUUGUCACCGGUGGAGUUUUGGUUCCUUGUCUCCUCUGGCUUGCUUCGUUGUGGUCACUUCAUUUACAGUGAUAUCAUUGACAUGAUUGCAAAUGAUUCCACAGAUACUAUUUAAACUGAACCGAGCUCAAGGAUGACAUCACUGAACUGAAUGAUAAAUUGCCUUUUAAACUGACUACAAACUGAGUUUACUAAUGUCCUUCUGCAUUAUUGACUGACACACUAUUUUCCUAUUUAAUACUGUAAAGUUGCUUUGCUUUGAGCUGUAUUAUUAAAAGCACUAUAUAAAUAAACGAUGCUUGACUUGACCAUGUUGCAAGAGGAAAAUGAGGGGAGAUGCACAUCCACCCUGGGUUUUACAGUGAUUGGUGCAAGAUGCUGGAGAAGUAACUCUGUAUACCUCAUCAGUUCUGAUCUAAGAGUCUUGAAAAUACCUCCGGAUUGUUGUUAGUGAUUCUGAUUGAUAUUUUAGUCUGCUUGCUUACUGGAUAUAUUUUAUACGGUUUACAUUGUAAAGCACUGACUUUGACAACUUACUAACCCAGUUACAAAUUUAACAGCUACUUUAUACUAUAUAUAUAUAUAUAUAUAUAUAUAUAUAUAUAGUUGUUUCUUGAAAUACUACAAAUAUAACCGCAAAUUAUGAUUUUAAAUAAAGGUCUCUGAGAGACUUCUCUCUUUUCAGUCAUUUGUGUAUAUAGCCUAUAAU